UACGAAGGGGGCUAGCGUUGUUCGGAUUUACUGGGCGUAAAGCGCACGUAGGCGGAUUGUUAAGUCAGGGGUGAAAUCCCGGAGCUCAACUCCGGAACUGCCUUUGAUACUGGCAAUCUAGAGUCCGGAAGAGGUGAGUGGAACUCCUAGUGUAGAGGUGGAAUUCGUAGAUAUUAGGAAGAACACCAGUGGCGAAGGCGGCUCACUGGUCCGGUACUGACGCUGAGGUGCGAAAGCGUGGGGAGCGAACAGGA
rnacentral:rRNA from 1 species